rnacentral:tRNA from 1 species
GGCAUCGUGGCUCAGUGGAAAGAGCACGGGCUUUGGAGUCAGCGGUCAUGGGUUCGAAUCCCACUCUGCCA